rnacentral:misc_RNA from 1 species
GCACUGCGCAUGCGCUGUUGCGCGCUACGCCCGUAGUUCGGAGUCAACUCCCUUGUGUUCCGCUGACGGCCGGCUGCCGGCACGGCGCUUUUCGCUCACGGUUGUUAUUUUUUUCCGGCUCGUUCCGACGCUCGAAGGCACGCCGAAUAAGAACGCAUCUCUGGCAGCUUAGGUGAGAGCGCACUUCUUUUACUCCAACAUGCCCGGAACGCCGAAGCACAAGGAGAUAGUGCUCGACACGAUCGACCAACUGCGAAAGCGCAAAGCGCGACCGGACUUCGAGCGCAUUUGUCACAUGCUCUACCGGCGGCAUGGGCUGAGCAAAUCGGAGGUUCAAGAGGAGCUCGACCUGCUCGUCGACUCCGAGGCGGUGAUCAAAGUGGACUACAAGGGCAACACGAGCUACCGCAACGCCGCGAAAUGGGUUCGUUUCAACAAGUCCCUUUCAUCGGACACCGGCGCGGCCGCGGCUGCGGCCGCUACUGCGGUCGCUGUCGGUUGCGGGGGCCCGCAGGCGACCACGUUCAAGGUAAGCCGCGCGAUCGGCGACGCCGUACGGGACCUGUGGUUCGCGAGCAAGAAGGACGCCGGUGUGUCGCCCGCCGAACUGGACGCCUACUUGCAAGCGAGGGACUUCAAGUGCACCAAGGGAGCGCUCGAACUCGGGAUCGACAAGGAACUGGCGUCCGGACGGCUCGUGCGCCUGCCCAGCGGCAAGUUCGCGCCGAGCGAAGCGGAGAAGCAACGGGCCGCCAAACUCGCGGCGUCGCCCCCCCACAAAGUCCCGCCUCGCGUCGUCAAGCCGUUGUUGCAGCAGGCGUGCGAAGGCGCCGUCCCGCCGAUCGGAGGUGUGACGACCGCGGCAACAUGCUCGGCUCCCGCGAGCAACGGCGUGGUCAUCGUGCGCUCACCGACUUCGCCGAUCGACAGGACGUCGACCGCAUCAUCGCUCUCCUCGCCACCGAACGCCAAGCGAGCCAGGCCCCUCAGCAAGCGCAAGAGGAUCAAGAAGACGCAUGGGCCGGACUUCCUGGAGAACCUGGACAGCCCAACGAUGGACGUGACCGAGUUCUUCGAGGAAGACGAGCCGCACUGCUUCGUCUGUUACCUCUCCGUGCCGCCUACCAGCAACGACUACAAGUCACUGCUCAUCUGUCGAGACUGCAACACUAAGGCUCACCCUUCAUGCCUCAACUACUCCGCGGAGCUGGCUGCAGCGGCCCGGCUCGCGACAUGGCAAUGCGUCGACUGCAAAACGUGCUCGGGGUGCAGCUCGACUGCUGACACUGACGAACUCAUCAUCUGUGAUGGCUGUGAUCGAGGCUACCACAUGGUGUGCCACAGGCCCAAGCUGAUGCACAGGCCUCAACGCAAGUGGCUGUGCAAGGCGUGCUGCGAGGGCACGAAGAAGACUGCUGGUGUCAAGAUCAAAACUGAAGUGGACAACUCGGUUGGCCUUCCGACGCCAUGUGACUCCCCAGUCCCAGACGAAGAGCUCAAGGGCUUCGAUGGCGAGAACACUGACCUGUCAGCCUACUACAUAGCCCUGGACAAGUACCCCGACGUGGUUCCCGAUGCCAAGGACUGGUCUGUCGAAGAGGUCGAGAAGUUCUUUGUGCACAUCGGCUUUCCAGAGCAAGCGGUUGCCUUCAGGGACCAGGAAAUUGACGGCCGUUCUUUGCUCCUGCUGAAGCGUAGUGACGUCCUCACAGGCCUCUCUCUAAAGCUGGGGCCAGCGCUCAAGAUCUACAAUCACAUCAAGAGGCUACAGACGGGCCUGCCCAACGGGCAUCUCUGCUGAGACCCAACUGGUCACAAUGCUCCCAGUCUUUCUUUUUCUUUUUUAUUUCGGCGUCCAGAAGCGCGCGACGCCAUUGUACAUACAUAAUCCACAAAAAGAGGUAGCACUCCCGACCACCGCUGAAAUGUAAGCAGUCCACUGCGAGAUAAAGCGCGAAGACGGCCUCAUUUGCAAGCCACUCGGUGGUUGCAAGGGACUUUUUUUUUUUUUCUGUGCUUGUCACUUGUGUAUCCACGAAAAACCGCUGGGCUCGCAAAGUCAACAUCGACAAAGAUUGCAGUGUUGAUGGAGUACCAUCUGACGAAGUUGAAGCGGUGUUAGUCAAAGCAAGUUACCAGUUAGUCCAAAGGCACAAAGAUGGUUCAAGUGCUCCGGCGUGAAAGAGGGACGAGGCCAAAAUGGGAACUGGGGUGCCACUGCCAGGAACGUGACUGGCCAGAGCACCUAAGCUUAAUGCUUUAGCACUUGAUAGCUUUAACCAGAUGCCUUCCUUCUUAUAUUGUGUUGUUGUUAAACCAUUUUUUUUUUUAUACGCUGUGUUGUACAUGUACAUUUCUUGAGUUAUAGAUGAAGUCAUGUUGUUUGUUCAUUCUCAUGUGUCAGCUACAUUUUCGUUUUGCACAUUUCCCACAUCAUUCUUUUUUUUUCCUUUAUUGUUGCCGUAGUAGUACUUCACUUGUGUCACACCAACUUUUGCAAGUGCUUUUUAAAAUAUUUUUAUAAAAUUAUGCAGAUCUUGUAGUAACAACCGGCCUGUGGUACCAAAGCACAGAUACAUUCAAGCGUCGAACCUUUCAAAGGCCUAGACUGCUUGAUGAUGUCUAGUUGCAAAGUCCAUUGGAAACCAGUACAAAGGAGGACGUUUGAAUGGACGUCGUCCCGAAGUACAUUUUGCCUCCCCUCUGUCUCUAUUGGCCAGCCAUUUGAUUUUUUUCCGCAUGCGUUUGACCCGGACACCUGCUUAUUUCAUGAAACUUGAUUGGGUACUGCCCGUUUUAUAGUGAUGAAAGAAAGUUCAUGCUUUGACGUGACCAUGAAUAGCGUAGGGUACGUCCGCUUUCUUCUGUGAGGGAACAAACAACGCAACAACGAAAAAUAAGAAGAGACGUCAACAGACGGGCACCCUGUCAGUUGUCCUCUCUUACGUCCUGUUGCUGUGUUCUUUGUUUUUCUUUCUAAUGCACAGGCCAGUCCAGUUUGGCGCACUCUCGCAGUUUUUCUGGCGGAGUAGGCGGCACAGACGUUGACUGUGAGGUGCCGUUGAUAAGUUUACCCGAAAAGCAAAUUCAGUUUGCUCUGCAGGCCAACUGCAAAGUCUGACAGGGCAUUGCCCUUUUGCAGGGCACGUUACAGCUUCUAAAAAAAAAUUCUUAAGAUCCCUCCAGGGCCAUUGCAUCCUCAUAUCUUUAUUUUAUUUAAGCAUCGCAGCAUUUGUGCAUUCUUGGUCGUUGUGUUUCUUUUGUCACAUAAAGGUAUUCUGGGCAUGUGUAGUGUGACUAUGUUCGCUGGCACAUUGUAGACAUAGCAGAGUUGAGAUUUUCCGUGGCUGCAGAGCAUGUCUUUGGCUGUGUGUGGAACGCAGCAGUGUCAAAAUGCAUGCAAUGUCAUUGUUGUCUCCCAUGCAAAAGAAAAAAGUGCUUCGUAUGUGAAACAAGUUUGCUGCUGUGUUGUUGUAAAGCAUACUUAUGUUCAAGCUGUGCUUUGUUCACGCGAAAAGAACUGUCCAAGUUCAAAUCACAUACAAUCACUACAUGAGCUCAUGCUUGUAUGCUAAUUAAACCUUCUCAUGAAACUUACGCUAAGGGCAUUUGCGUCUCGCUUAGUAAUGUGAAACAGCUGCAGUUACCUAGUACUUUGCGACUUGCAUUUUUUGCUGAAUAUACCGUAUUUUCAUGCACGGCCGUGUACAUAACCUGCAAUUACAUUUACAAGUGCCAUAAAGGACAAAACAAAGAUAUCCCUCCCCUCAUUUCCACAUAGAACUAAGGCAAAUAACCGUACACAUUGUUAUGAAGUCGUAAGAAAAAUUAUACCUUUAUGUGGGGUUUUGUCAUUGUUCACUUAGUGUUGUAUGAAGGAGCAGCUUAAUAUGUAAGUCACACCCUUCACUUUGUAAAUAAAUUUCUUUGUCCUUUUUUUUUUUUUGAACUGCAGGUUACAUACACAGAAAUGCAGUAGGCAUGCAGCCAAAACGUUGCGUAUUGCCAGGUAGUGCAGCCACGGCUGGCAGCAUUGCAAUGCCUGGCGGCAUUCUGGCGAGCUGUAGUCAAUCACUGGUGCUUGUGGUGGAUUUCACCAGUAUAUAUCUGUACAGAUUAGAAGUUGCUUUAAAGGGCAUUGGUGUAUUUAGAGCUGCUCACUGUCUGCAACCGUUUUUUUUUUUUCCGAGACCGUUUAGCCAAUGUGACCCGUCACGUGUUGCGCAGUCAAGUUUCACGCAGGUGUUUUGACGCCGCUGAUGGUUAUGAGCGAGAGUCGCUUGCCGUGCGGUACUAGAUGCACUUAUGUGCUUUAUGCAGUGUUGUUUCAGCCAAGUCAGCCAGCUGCCUUACUCGGUCCAAUGCAUCCAAACUUGAAGCGUCUUUGAACGCUGAACUGUGUCGCGCGUGAUCCACAGCGCACACCGUUCAGCUUUGUACGCAUACUUGCAAUUUGUGUCUUUUAUCCUCGCAGUGUUGUGAAUAAUUGCGCCUAAAGCUCCGCAAGCCACUAGCAGCCACGACUGCGGCGAAUCCUCGAAUGAAACUUCAUUGCGUAACACGCGGUAAUUUGCCUUCUUUGCACGUUGGGGUUGGUUAUGUUGGGCAGGACAUCAAAGUUUGUGCAAUAGUUAGACGCGACGUAACUGCUAGGAUUGCCGCACUUAGCCUCGCGCAACUCAUAGCCGUAAGAGCGCUCAGACAUGUAAAUAUGGUGAAUACAUUGGCCAUCUUUUAGCAGGGGUCCUUGCGGCGAUGCAGUGGCCUGCAGAUAUGAUAGCAUAAUUUCAUCCCGUGAAGCUGAAAGCGACAUGGCCAGUUAGAAUCUAGUGAAUCAGCAUCUGUAUAUAACAUUCGUAUGACUUGGCAGAAACUACGACGUUGCUAUAACAGUGGAUGAACAUUAUUUUUGGCUUUCCCAAAGGAGCACUAGGUGCUCUGUUAGUAAUACGUUGAGUACCAAGCUUAGUUUUAUUUGUGUCUUUGCCUUGAGUGCAGUUCUGAAGCAGUUGAGUUAGCCAUUUAAUAAGAGCUAUUGUGAGUGAUCACAGCAUGACUUGAACACAGAUACACGUCGCAUUAAAAACAUUGAGCAUAUAUGUGGUCCUUUGGCAUUUUAGUUAGUAUACUCCUUUGUGUUCUGCUAGUGCUGAGAAGUUUCAUUGUGGAAUGCACGGAUAUUGCCCGAGUUGUGCAGCCAACAUUAACUUCAAUUGGUCGCUGUGCCUACGUGAUAAAGUUAAGUUCCGUGCAUGGCAAGAACGAAUGCUCGUAUAGGUAUUACAUCGCAGCAACGUGCUUGCCAUAGGACGAUGGCUCGGUGGUGCCGAUGCAUGCUAGCGUCAACACCCAGUCACGUGGACACGAUACCUACCAAAAUGCGAGGUGGGUGCAGUGAUUUGCUGGUCGUGCGUAAUAAUCUCGCCCACCAUCGACUACAAGAGGCGUGCUCAUGUGCUAUUCUCUUUUUGCGUUCGCAUAACGCCUUUCGUCGUGCAGCUUGGCUAUGCGAUCUACACAUGUGAGCAUGAUCACAUCUGUGCUGAAAGUACUGUCAACCUGUACAGAAGGUUGCAUAAGUAACAGAGCCUUAUAUAAGCAUCUCUCCAGGCUAGUUGCAAGCUCACCUUGUGUUCGUAUUUCGUGCAGAGGUGGCGUUUAGAUAAAUAGUUUGAGCACUGCACCCGCUUUACAUGUACAGUCUUGACCCCUUGCCAACACACUGCGCUCGCUAGCAUAGGUGCAUAUGCCAUGGAGAAGCUGGUAGGCGAAUCAUGUGGUAGUGGCUAUUUUAAGCAAUAGUGCUGUGCUUGAACUAAUACCAUUUCUUGGACGCAGUUCAUGUUCAGUUAUAAACAAAUCAAAACUAUACGCAUCUGUUCUCACGACACUCAACUGCAAAAGCUCAUCUUCAGCAGAAAGGAACGGCAGCACCCUUUUGCCCGGAAGUGGUUGCUCUUCCUUGAACCAAGAAAACUUUACGUUUUUCAUCAAGCAUUGAUGCAGAUGGUCUGCAACUUUAGUUCACUUCAGAUGGAACAGGCAUGUGCUGCAUCCGGAUUUGGUAUUAGAUUAUCACAGAAUGCAAAUUCCACAUGAAGGCUGAAUGCAAAGGAACAAUUAAGCUGGAAGAGCUCUUAUGCUGCAACUGUCUUAUCGCAGCAACAUACAGUAUUCUUGCCUGGACGUCGAAUUGCAAAGCUGGCUUCUUUUUUUGUUUUUGUUUAUUGUGUGCCAUUGAACAAUAUUUCACUUGUCCCUGUCACCUGCCCGGCGAAAGCAUUGUAUAAACAAGACAGACAUACAUGUUGAAUAAAGUUUGUUGAAUAA